UUCUUUGCAUCUGACUGGUAUUGGCUCCUUCACUGAGAGGAAAGACAGAGGGGGCUUAGUCAAGCCAAGGACAGAUGUAUAUGAAAUCAUCAAGUGUACAGAUAAAAUUCUGAGUUUGUUUAUGCGUUCACAUUUUUCUCUCUUUACCAGGAAAAAAUUGUCAGAAACACAUUGUGCGCCAACUCCAACCCAAUGAAAGUGUCUAAAGAUAUCCUACACGGCGUUCAACAAAAUGUAAUCGAAUCAGUAAGGCAUAAGGUGUUUAGGGACUUGGAGCAACAUUUUUAUGAUCAAUAUUUAGAAGAUGAAGAUGACCAUUGUGUGCAGCUCAUUAAGCAUAUCAGUUCGUUGUACAUUAAGACUAUUACCCAUCAUCACGGCAGGCUGUUCACUCGUCGUUAUGUUAAUAACAAUCAGCCAUCAAGAAGACAUAAAUUAACUAAGACAAUUUUGUUCCUAGGUCAGUAAGUUUGCGGAAACUCACUAUAACUUAUAUUCUAGGCUGGGGCAGCUCCUUGUUUUUUGAUGUCAAUCGUAAUGGUAAGCAAUGUGUCUGAUGUGACAAGACUACAAACGGAGAGCUGCAAAGCAGCCCAGUUCGUACCAUCUGAUCUUGCAUUUUGAUUUUUUAAAAUUAAUUAUUGACAAUGGAUUGGGGGCGAGGUUUCGUAUGAAAAAUCAGUGUUGUCCAUAAUUAAAAACAACCACUAUUGCAAGACCAGAGUGUAUAGGCUGUGAAAUGGUGGACUGCGAUCAGAUCAUCGUUUGUAGUCUUACAUGUAUACAUAUCAGAUGUAUUAUGUUUGCGGUUGACACCAAAGGACAAUAUCUGCAGCCCUAUCCUAGAUUAUAGGCUAACUGUUGGGAUUAAAAAAAAACAGAAGAAUGUCUGAUAUGCAAAAUCACAUAAUAUCAGGGAUAUUGUUAUAUCACUUUAAAUAUUGAGUUUCCACUGUAUACCCUGUACAUGAUUUUAGGCUUGAAUUACAUUUAUUGUCAUUUUCCAUACCAGAAUUUUUUCAAAAAAAUGUAAAUUGUUUUGGGGUCCUCCAUUUAUCCUUCUGUCUAUUUGACAGAUCAGUUUUAAACUUUGAUCAUGUAUGCAUAUAGGAAUGAGGAGGAUCUGAUUAAAGUUAAAAGGAUUAACUUCAGACUUGGUUUAUGUAUGUUUAUGGGAAACACAACUAUAUUUUGGAGUCACAAAAACAAAAUCAGAUAUGUGAUGUUGUAUAUGGAAACAGAAAACUAGGCAGUACAUUUCCGCUCUGGCAGUGGCGGAAGCAUACAUGUCAUUCAACUUUGCGCAGUCAAAGAUUCAACCUGACAAUUAUAGCUUUUCUAAACAUGUUUGUAUAUCACUCAAACUUGAACUGUAAAAGCCAACCUUGCAAUUUAUGUUCGAUUUGUAUAGGCAUAGGGCGAGAGUUAGAUAUAUGUACUUGCUUUAUUGUUCCAGGAUUGAGUCAUGAAUCCAGUUACAAGGUUAACACUUCAGAACAAUUGCCAUAGGGGCUUGUUUUGUACAUGUAGUCAUGUACUACCAUUUUGAUAUACAUGUAUGUGCAUCCCCUAAAAA